rnacentral:rRNA from 1 species
AACCGCAUGCUAACUUAUGUGGCUUCUUCUGCUCAAUGAUCCAUUAAAUAGCCGCAGUACUUUGACUGUGCAAAGGUAGCAUAAUCAAUUGGCUCAUAAUUGGAGUCUGGUAUGAACGAAAGCAUGGCUAACAGCUGUUUCAAGGUAAUUAAAUUAAAUUUACUGAGUGGGUGAAAAUUCCCACAUAGUAAUAAUAGACGAGAAGACCCUAAAAAUUUUUAUGAGGAAGCUGAAUCCGUUUAUAGUUUUUGUUGGGGCGACAAAAUAACAAAAAACUUAUUGUUGUUAAUUAGAACUAUGUUAUGAGGAGAAAUAAAUUACUUUAGGGAUAACAGCAUAAUUUAAUUAGUUUGUGACCUCGAUGUUGGAUUAGGGUACCACUUACCCAGAAGGUAAUGGGAAUCGUUCUGUUCGAACGCUUGCCCCU